rnacentral:rRNA from 1 species
UACGAAGGGGGCUAGCGUUGUUCGGAAUUACUGGGCGUAAAGCGCGUGUAGGCGGCCCUGCAAGUCGGAUGUGAAAGCCCUCGGCUCAACUGAGGAAGUGCAUCCGAAACUGGCAGGCUAGAGUACUAAAGAGGGUCGCGGAAUUCCCGGUGUAGAGGUGAAAUUCGUAGAUAUCGGGAGGAACACCGGUGGCGAAGGCGGCGACCUGGGUAGAUACUGACGCUGAGGUGCGAAAGCGUGGGGAGCAAACAGG